UAUAAGUGCUGCAGGUUUAAAUGAAUCAUGCAAUUGAUACCAGCAGCCGAGCGAACGAGGGAGCGCGUGGAGGGAGCACAACUUCUGGUUUUAAGAAGGGAAACCUAAAGACUCCUUGGAUAUGGCUUUCAACAACACCCUGACCUCAAGAGCUGCUCUGCUCUAUGAUGAGUGGCUUAAGGAAGCAGAUCCACGGACCGAGAACUGGCUGCUUAUGGCCUCUCCGUUCCCUCAAACGAUCAUCAUCGCUGCUUACGUCUACUUCGUG